AUUUUUCCUAAUUCCUAGCCCUGAUACGGCAUCAAUCAAUUUGAAAUUUUCUCAUCUCUGUUCUCUGAGCUCUCGCCUCUCCUCUCUCGACAGUCGACACGACGACAUCGCAUCCCAGAUUCCAAGCCAGGCGCUGCCGUCGCGACGACACCGCCAUAGCCAGCAAUCCAACACCACCGCCAUAGCCAGCAAUCCAACACCACCGCCGUAAGCCACCACUUGUCCAGUUGUCCACCACCGCCGAAGCCACCACUCCUCCACCACUGCCGAAGCCACUAGUCGACCUCCACUGCUAAAGUCGAAGCCAUCGCCGAACACUUUUACUGAAGAUGUGAAGACUAUAUCACUGGAAUGAACUUGGAGUGAAGGUAUUAGGCUUGGUAUUAAGCUUUUGGGACGAUGGAUGCAGAAUUUAAAUAUCUUAUGCUUUAUGUUUUUAUGUUUUGGCAUGUAAUGUGAACAAACAAAUUAUGUGUGGACUUGGAUUUUUAUUUUGAUAUUAGAUGCUACGAGUGAACUUAUUCAAUUAUUUGUAUUAGUUUUGUAGUUGUAUUGUUUGUUUGAUUAUUGUUCGUGAAUGUAGAUUAUUUGUUGUUCACAGACAAA